GGAGGGGAGUGAAAUAGAACCUGAAACCAUAUGCUUACAAGAAGUUAGAGCCCGUUAAUGGGUGAGAGCGUGCCUUUUGUAGAAUGAACCGGCGAGUUACGAUAUGGAGCGAGGUUAAGCAGGAUAUGCGGAGCCGAAGCGAAAGCGAGUCUUAACAGGGCGAAAGUUGCAUGUCGUAGACCCGAAACCGAGUGAUCUAGCCAUGACCAGGUUGAAGUUGGGGUAAAACCCGAUGGAGGACCGAACCGACCCCCGUUGAAACGUUGGCGGAUGAGUUGUGGCUAGGGGUGAAAUUCCAAUCGAACUCGGAGAUAGCUGGUUCUCCCCGAAAUAGCUUUAGGGCUAGCGUCGAGGUAAAGUCGUGUGAAGGUAGAGCACUGAAUAUGUGAUGGCCCCAUCUCGGGGUACUGAACAUAAUCAAACUCCGAAUGUCACAAAGAUAUACUCGGCAGUCAGACAGUGGGUGAUAAGGUCCAUUGUCAAAAGGGAAACAGCCCAGACCAUCAGCUAAGGUCCCAAAAUAUAUACUAAGUGGAAAAGGAUGUGGAGAUGUCCAGACAACUAGGAGGUUGGCUCAGAAGCAGCCAUCCUUUAAAGAGUGCGUAACAGCUCACUAGUCGAAUGACUCUGCGCCGAUAAUUUACCGGGGCUAAGUAUAUUACCGAAGCUAUGGAUUUACGCGUAAGCGUGAGUGGUAGGGGAGCGUUCUAUGUGCGGAGAAGCGGUACCGUAAGGAGCCGUGGAGCGCAUAGAAGAGAGAAUGCCGGUGUGAGUAGCGAAACGUGGGUGAGAAUCCCACGCACCGAAAACCCAAGGUUUCCAGAGGAAGGUUCGUCCGCUCUGGGUAAGUCGGGACCUAAGGCGAGGCCGAGAGGCGUAGUCGAUGGACAACAGGUAGAGAUUCCUGUACUUACGGUAUGAAUGAUGGAGUGACGGAGAAGGCUAGCGGAUCCUGCUGAUGGAAAUGCAGGUGCAAGCGAGGUAGCCGACAGCCAGGCAAAUCCGGCUGUCGAAAGGCAAAGGCGUGAGGCGUAUGGAAAGCUGCGGCAAGUACAGAAGUCCGUGAAGCCAGCUUCCAAGAAAAGCUUCUAGUGAUAAUCAUACAGUAACCCGUACCGAAAAUGGACACACAUGGGUGAGGAGAGAAUCCUAAGGUGAGCGAGAGAACUAUAGCUAAGGAACUCUGCAAAAUGACUCCGUAACUUAGGGAUAAGGAGUGCUCAUAGAGAUAUGAGCCGCAGUGAAACGGCCCAAGCGACUGUUUACCAAAAACACAGCUCUAUGCUAAGUCGAAAGACGACGUAUAUGGGGUGACGCCUGCCCGGUGCUGGAAGGUUAAGAGGAUGUGUCAGCGCAAGCGAAGCAUUGAAUUGAAGCCCCAGUAAACGGCGGCCGUAACUAUAACGGUCCUAAGGUAGCGAAAUUCCUUGUCAGGUAAGUUCUGACCCG
rnacentral:rRNA from 1 species